ensembl:lncRNA
CUGCUGCACUGGCAGGCAGGUUCUUUAUCACUAGCACCAGCUGGGAAGCCCAACAAAGAAUUAUCCACCCCUAAUUGUCAAUAGUGCCAAGGUUGAGAAACCCCAUUUUCCCAUAAAGGCUUACACUGGGAACUGGCCCUCAGUCUCCAUGUAAGAAAACCCAUUACCUUGUUGGAAAAACCAUACAAAUAUGCUGCCUGGAAUUGUUGAGGCCACAGUGAGAAGAAGAAGCCCUCAGACUCCCUGGAGAGAGGGAGAGAAGCCUGGCCAUCUCAUCAUCCAGCUGAGCUCAGCCCAUCAUAGCUUCCUUAGCAGCAGAAUACAGCCAGUGAGAGAUCACCAGCAAGACCAGCAGAAGAACUUCCCAGCUGAGCCCAGCCCCACUGGCAGAAUCGUGAGCAAAAUGGAAAUGUUUUGUUUGUUUCAGGCUGUUUUGGGAUGUUUACAUCAGUGGAUAACUAAAGUGAUAGCAUAUAUGAAAGGAAACUAGAGUGUCUCAACCCAUAUAGGAUUCCUUCAGCAGGGGAUGCUGUGAUAUGUCAACCAGAGUCCCUCUUCAGGACUCUACAUGCAUCCCCCCAGCUGCUAACAGUAUUGAUGGCUGACAGUUCACAGUUGAGGGCUUCUGUGAGAUUUGCCUUCUAUUGAAAACAGCUGCUUCAUCCAAGCUCAGAAUGCCUUCCCUGGGAUAGCCCACAUCAGAUGACUGGUCCAUGUGGAGGAAGAAAGUCCUGGAACCCUUGCCUUCAAACUUCCAGGACACAAGAUGAUUUGGCUAAGAGCACAUCCCGGGGCACUGAACCAAACCACAGUCCUGUUCCAUCACUGGCUUUGCGGGUCUCUGUUAAGUUUCAGUUGCCUUGACAAAGAAGAAGCAAAAAGCCAUGCCCUGAACGUGACAAGAGAUUCAAAAGUUUAACUGUAACUCUGGAAAACUUAUAAAUAGCAAAGAAACACAGGGAAACAUAUUAAUCUUCACCAGAAACGCAAGAAGUGCAAAUUAAAUCCACCUUGGGAUACCAUUUUACACUGACUAAAUUAGCAGAACAAAGUAAAAAUAAAUUCAAAUACGCAUUGCUGGUGACAUUGUGGUGAAUAUUGGGUCCUCUUAAUCUGCCGGUUUAAAUAUAAAUUGCUCAGCACUAGAAAGCGAUACGACAGUACAC